UACAGAGGUCUCAAGCGUUGUUCGGAUUCAUUGGGCGUAAAGGGUGUGUAGGUGGCGCCGUAAGUCGGGUGUGAAAUUUCGGAGCUUAACUCCGAAACUGCAUUCGAUACUGCGGUGCUUGAGGACUGGAGAGGAGACUGGAAUUCAUGGUGUAGCAGUGAAAUGCGUAGAGAUCAUGAGGAAGACCAGUGGCGAAGGCGGGUCUCUGGACAGUUCCUGACACUGAGGCGCGAAAGCGUGGGGAGCAAACGGG
rnacentral:rRNA from 1 species